GUGGGGAAUCUUGCGCAAUGGGCGAAAGCCUGACGCAGCCAUGCCGCGUGAAUGAUGAAGGUCUUAGGAUUGUAAAAUUCUUUCACCGGGGACGAUAAUGACGGUACCCGGAGAAGAAGCUCCGGCUAACUUCGUGCCAGCAGCCGCGGUAAUACGAAGGGGGCUAGCGUUGCUCGGAAUUACUGGGCGUAAAGGGUGCGUAGGCGGACAGCUUAGUCAGAGGUGAAAGCCCAGGGCUCAACCUUGGAAUUGCCUUUGAUACUGGCUGUCUUGAGUUUGGGAGAGGUGAGUGGAACUCCGAGUGUAGAGGUGAAAUUCGUAGAUAUUCGGAAGAACACCAGUGGCGAAGGCGACUCACUGGCCCAAUACUGACGCUGAGGCGCGAAAGCGUGGGGAGCAAACAGGAUUAGAAACCCGGGUAGUCC
rnacentral:rRNA from 1 species